AAAAAACAACCUUUCCUUUGCCUUAGAUAAAAUCUCCUUUGCUUCCAGCCUAAAUGUGUGACCUUGUGUCCUAUGUAUAGCCCUGUUUAUGAAUAGAAUUCCAGACAAUGGUUUGUACUGGCCCCGAAUAUAUUUGUAUAAUGUUGUUAUAUCCCCUCUCAGGCACCGUUUUUCCAAACUAAGGAGAUUUACAUUUUUAACCUUUCUUUGUAACUAAAAUGCUCCAUUCCUUUGAUCAAUUUUGUAGCUCGUCUCUGCACAUUAUAG